UUUCACAAGACGUCUUACCUAUCGUGGCUUAAAUAGGUUUAAAGAUAUUAAAGCCAAGUUUGAAGCAACGAAGUUGACUGAAAAGGUUAUGACCAGCCCUUUUGGACCAUUCUGGGAAGCUAAAGAAUUGACUUUCUCAGGCACAUUGGUCCACAACCUACUCCUGCAAAAGAUAUAAGUUGAAACAGAGAAGGAAGAUGAGAUAUGGUUUUACGUUGGAAAAACAAACAUGAGAUUUGAGCAGCUUGAGUUUGGAUUGAUUAUUGGCUUACCUAUGGGUAGUAGCCCUACAGAGGAAGAGAUAGAAGCCAAGUCCAGUGAUCUUUUAGUGAGGACGUAUUUUGAAGGGAAGAGUGGUGUGCAGUUGGAUACAAUCAGACGACAUCAAAUUUGUGAAAUGCUCCUUUGAUCUCCUCCUCUGAGAAAAGCAUUCCUGCCAUCUAUAUGAAAUAUUCUAUUUAGUGAAGACUUGUCUAAAUGCAAUAAUAUUAGUACCCAAAGCCAACCCUCAACAACAAUUGAGGGAUUGGCAGAGGCGUCUCCGCCAAGAAUGCCGCAACAUCGAAUGCCAAAUUAGAGGCAAUGCUCUCUUCUAUCUCUUAGGGUAAAUUCUCCUGGUUCUUUUUUGGUGGUUGAGAUUAUUGUUUUCUAAUAUCGGUUUGUUUGUUUGAUUGAUUAUUUCCAGAUGUUCAGAGAGAGCAGAAGGGUGUAGAGAAAGCCAUUAGAGAAGCUGCUAAGAGAAAUGACUUGGGCUCAGCCAAGGCCCUUGCAAAGGAAAUUGUAAUUUCGAGGAAAACUGUUAAUUGACUUUACGAAAAUAAGGCCCAGCUAAAUUCAAUAUCAAUGCAUCUUGGAGAAAGUGUUGAUAUUUUAUUCUAGAUCUUGCAUCUUGUUCCGUUGAAGGAGCCCAAGAGGACUUUAUUGAUAUAAUCUAUCUUAUAUUAACAUCAACUUUGAUCAGGUAAGCAAGCAAUAUCCAAUAGCUACAUGUGAUAAUUUGUUGUGCUUGAUUUUAUGCUCCAUAUAACUGCUAUAUUAUUUAAGUUGAAAUUAUGUAUGGAUACUUGAUAUUUAGAUAAUUAAUGAGAUCGGUCAUCAUUAAGGCUACCAUACUUUGAACAACAUUUUUUGGGUCUAUCCAUAUUCAUAGCUCUAACCUCUCUUUCUCUCCCACACAAAAAAACAAGUUUGA